rnacentral:rRNA from 1 species
UACGUAGGGGGCUAGCGUUGUCCGGAAUCAUUGGGCGUAAAGCGUGCGCAGGCGGUUCGUUGUGUCGGCGGUGAAAGCCCCGGGCUCAACCUGGGAAUGGCCGUUGAAACUGGCGAACUGGAGUGUGGCAGAGGGGGGUGGAAUUCCGCGUGUAGCAGUGAAAUGCGUAGAGAUGCGGAGGAACACCGAUGGCGAAGGCAGCCCCCUGGGCUGACACUGACGCUCAGGCACGAAAGCGUGGGGAGCAAACAGG